UGAGCCAAGAUUGUCAUUACGUCUUGCCAGGGAAGGAGCAAGAUAAAUCAAGUUUUAGUUUUUCGUUCUGAAGCUGAUCACGAUUUUCUGAAACUGCCGAUUUUUCCUUCCAUAGCCCAGGUCUGCCAUGGAAAGAAGAACAGUGCACUCAGGUCCAAAUGGACAGGGUUUCCUUGUGUAACAGCCCUGGCUAGAACUCACUCUGUAGACCAGACUGGACUAGAACUCACAGAGAUCCACCUGCCUCCGCCUCCAGAGAGCUGGGAUUAAAGGCAUGUACAACCAUACCUGGCUUAAUUCUUUCUUUAAUCAGCAGAGAGAAAUGAACCCAACUAAGACUCAUAGACGGCCACGAUGUGACCAGCUUUCAAGCUCCUAGCACCCUUUCCCUGAAAGGAUGAACGCUAGUUUGGAAAUGUGAGUUAAAUAAAAGAAAUGUUUUCUCCCUG